UCUCCUGUAGCUCAGUAGUAGAGCGUCCGACCGGUGUGCAGAAGGUCAUUAGGAUCGACUCUUGUUGGAAGAA